rnacentral:rRNA from 1 species
UGAACGCUGGCGGCGUGCUUAACACAUGCAAGUCGAACGAACCUUCGGGUUAGUGGCGGACGGGUGAGUAACGCGUGAGAAUCUGCCCUCAGGAGGGGGAUAACGGUUGGAAACGACCGCUAAUACCCCAUAUGCCGCGAGGUGAAAUGAAUUUCGCCUGGGGAUGAGCUCGCGUCUGAUUAGCUAGUUGGUGGGGUAAAGGCCUACCAAGGCAUCGAUCAGUAGCUGGUCUGAGAGGAUGAUCAGCCACACUGGGACUGAGACACGGCCCAGACUCCUACGGGAGGCAGCAGUGGGGAAUUUUCCGCAAUGGGCGAAAGCCUGACGGAGCAACGCCGCGUGAGGGAUGAAGGCCUCUGGGCUGUAAACCUCUUUUAUCAAGGAAGAAGAUCUGACGGUACUUGAUGAAUAAGCCACGGCUAAU